CCUACGGGAGGCAGCAGUGGGGAAUAUUGCACAAUGGGGGAAACCCUGAUGCAGCGACGCCGCGUAGGAGGAAGAAGGUCUUCGGAUUGUAAACUCCUGUUGUUGAGGAAGAUAAUGACGGUACUCAACAAGGAAGUGACGGCUAACUACGUGC
rnacentral:rRNA from 1 species